rnacentral:tRNA from 1 species
GCGGGGGUGCCCGAGCUAGGUCGAAGGGGGCGGACUGAGGCUCCGCUGGCGUAGGCCUUCCCGGGUUCGAAUCCCGGCCCCCGCACCA